rnacentral:rRNA from 1 species
UACGUAGGGGGCAAGCGUUGUCCGGAAUCAUUGGGCGUAAAGCGCGCGUAGGCGCCCUGUAAGUCCGUUGUGAAAGUCGAAGGCUCAACCUUCGAAAGCCGAUGGAUACUGCAGGGCUAGAGUCCGGAAGAGGCGAGUGGAAUUCCUGGUGUAGCGGUGGAAUGCGCAGAUAUCAGGAGGAACACCAAUAGCGAAGGCAGCUCGCUGGGACGGUACUGACGCUAAGGCGCGAAAGCGUGGGGAGCGAACAGG